AGCUCUGUAAGCGUAUACCCAAGUUGUUGCAGUUAAAACGCUCGUAGUCGGAGUUUGGCGGGCAGGGGGCGGUUCGAUGCUUGUCGCUACUGCCCCAUUUGCCUGUGAUUUUGGCGGAGGCCUCAGGGUGCUCUUAAUCGAGUGUCCUGGGGCGCCGCCAGGUUUACUUUGAAAAAAUUAGAGUGCUCAAAGCAGGCCUGACACGCCUGAAUAUUAGUGCAUGGAAUAAUGGAAUAGGACGUCGUUUCUAUUUUGUUGGUUUUCGGAAAUUGACGUAAUGAUUAAUAGGGACAGUCGGGGGCAUUAGUAUUCAGACGACAGAGGUGAAAUUCUUAGACCGUCUGAAGACUAACUACUGCGAAAGCAUUUGCCAAGAAUGUUUUCAUUAAUCAAGAACGAA
rnacentral:rRNA from 1 species